UUUUGCUCAGCAUAAUGCCUUUGAGAUCAGUUUAAUUUGUUGCUUAUCACUAAUUCAUUCCUUUUUAUUGCUUUGUAGUAUUCCAUUUAAUGGAUGCACCACAGUUUGUUUAUUCAUUCACCUGUUGAAGGACAUUUGGGUUGCUUCCAGUUUCUGGUCAAAAUGUUUCAUUUUUGAAACAAAAAUAAAACAUCAUGAAAGGACACACGCUAAAUACAAGAGAAGAUCCGAAUUGCCCAUCCCUAUCGAUUCUACUCCCUGAAGGUGGACUCUCCCUCCCCGGAGACCACCCGUUUGUUUCGUUCCUGUCCUCCCAGAGAUAUUUUCUACACAUACACACUCAGGGUCGGCGGGAAGACAUGCUGGAUGGUAACUGCUAAGUCAUCAGCCAGUUGGUGACCUCGAGUAGCUGUUUCAGCCCACCUACAGAAACUGUAGAUCCUUUGCCAAACCGUUGCCAUAAAUGUUAAGAACAAAGCUCAAUUAUUCUCUUAAAAAUAGUAACUUUAAAGAAGAUGGAAGUCUUCAACUUUAAAACCAGCCAGAUUAAUAAAAAUAAUCUUUCUGAAUUAUGAACUUGGUAUCAUGGUAUAAAGAGCCUUUUUUUUUUUAAUCUUGCUGACUCAAAGAUAGGCUUUGAAAACAAGCCUCGUUGACUUUGCGCCCGUUUGUUUGCCAGUUCUACAAAGGUUUUAUUGCAAAUCAAUUUUAUUGUACAGUGUGCCUUAAAAGUUGACAAUCGAGUAAGUCAGCUGUAUCCCAACCCUGACCCUAAAUUAGCCAGGUGACCUUGAAAGUGUUCCUUAUCUUUGCUAGGUGGCAGUUUGCUAGCAACAAAGGGAGGGGCUAGAUAAGACUGAGACUUUGGGAUUUUACACUUGGAGAUCUAGCUAAUUUCUGUCCUUUGAUAGCUGUCAGGUGCCCACAGGUGGUUGUGAAACCUUACCCGAAGAUGAAGGGUUAAUGUCAGAUUGACUAUCUAAAGCUUGUUGGAACUUGAAGUGCAAACAAAGGGUUAAUGGCACGUUUAACCAUCAAAAUGGGCCCUUUCGGGCCUUGUUUGCCUAGCUAAACUCAGAACCAAUCCUAUUAGCCUGUGCGGGGGACCUUUGGCAGAGGUUUCUGGGUGGACAUGGGGCUAGGGAGUGGCCCAGGGAGUGCAGAUGAAUUAGCAUCUCUUCCCUGGCUCAUUACCGGAGGAUAAAGGCGCCUCCCGCAGCUCCCAGCAGGUUGGGAGCAGGAAGUUGGGUGGUUUGGACAGCAGGAA